rnacentral:tRNA from 1 species
GCGCCCGUAGCUCAGCCGGAUAGAGCACCAGAUUCCUAAUCUGGGGGCCACAGGUUCAAAUCCUGUCGGGCGCACCA